ensembl:snoRNA SNORA70G small nucleolar RNA, H/ACA box 70G
CUGCAGCCUAUUAAGCCAACUGAGUUCCUUUCCUCAUGGGGGGGCCCAGUGUGCAAUGGCUGCAAACAGCAGCUUCCUUGGUAGUGUAUGCAGCCUGUGUGUUGUAUUGUAUGGGUUGCUCUAAGGGACCCUGGAGACAGUC